GUGCUCAAUUUUGAAGCACUUAUCUUGAAAACAUAAAGUUCCAGAGAAGAUUAGCAUGGCUCCUGCCUGAAAAAAAAAUGGCAUCUAACAUUGGAAAACAUUCCAUAUUUUG